rnacentral:rRNA from 1 species
CCAGACUCCUACGGGAGGCAGCAGUGGGGAAUAUUGGGCAAUGGGCGCAAGCCUGACCCAGCAAUGCCGCGUGAAGGAAGAAGGCCUUCGGGUUGUAAACUUCUUUUAUCAGGGACGAAGGAUGUGACGGUACCUGAUGAAUAAGCUCCGGCUAACUACGUGCCAGCAGCCGCGGUAAUACGUAGGGAGCAAGCGUUAUCCGGAUUUACUGGGUGUAGAGGGCGCGUAGGCGGGAUGGCAAGUCAGAUGUGAAAGCCAAGGGCUCAACCCGUGAACUGCAUUUGAAACUGUCGUUCUUGAGUACUGGAGAGGUUGGCGGAAUUCCUAGUGUAGCGGUGAAAUGCGUAGAUAUUAGGAGGAACACCAGUGGCGAAGGCGGUCUGCUGGACAGCAACUGACGGUGAGGCGCGAAAGCGUGGGGAGCAAACAGGAUUAGAUACCCGAGUA